GAAUAUUGGACAAUGGGGGGAACCCUGAUCCAGCCAUGCCGCGUGUGUGAAGAAGGCCUUUUGGUUGUAAAGCACUUUAAGCGAGGAGGAGGCUACUGAGCUUAAUACCCUAGGAUCCUGGACGUUCCUCCCAGAAUACGCACCGGCGAACUCUGUCACAGCCGCCGCGGUAAUACAGAGGGUGCAAUCGUUAAUCGGAUUUACUGGGCGUAAAGCGCGCGUAGGUGGCCAAUUAAGUCAAAUGUGAAAUCCCCGAGCUUAACUUGGGAAUUGCAUUCGAUACUGGUUGGCUAGAGUAUGGGAGAGGAUGGUAGAAUUCCAGGUGUAGCGGUGAAAUGCGUAGAGAUCUGGAGGAAUACCGAUGGCGAAGGCAGCCAUCUGGCCUAAUACUGACACUGAGGUGCGAAAGCAUGGGGAGCAAACA
rnacentral:rRNA from 1 species